UACGUAGGGGGCAAGCGUUGUCCGGAUUCAUUGGGCGUAAAGAGCGUGUAGGCGGCCAGGUAGGUCGGCUGUGAAAACUCGAGGCUCAACCUUCAGAGGUCGACCGAAACCAUCUGGCUAGAGUCCGGGAGAGGAGAGUGGAAUUCCUGGUGUAGCGGUGAAAUUCGUAGAUAUCGAGAGGAACACCGGUGGCGAAGGCGGCCUUCUGGACAGUGACUGACGCUGAGACGCGAAAGCGUGGGGAGCAAACAGG
rnacentral:rRNA from 1 species